rnacentral:misc_RNA from 1 species
AAAAAAAAAAAAAACCAACAACAAACUGAACUUUAUGAGAUCAGUGUUAGUUCCUUUCUAUUUCUAGAUUUUUGCAAACAGAGAGACAAGAAAAUGAAGAUGUUAAUUUGAUCAAUAAUUGAGAACUGAAAAGUUACAAAAGGCACUGUUGAGAAUGAAUCAGGACUUCUUAGACCAUUCUUUGGGCGAGGAAAAAGUUUCUAUGAAGUACAAACUACAAAGCACUAAAGAAAAAAAGAGGUGCAUAUGAAGACUUACACAACAUAGACGUGUCCUCCCCAA